rfam:Dipodomys ordii contig_39397, whole genome shotgun sequence.
GGGAAGGUGACUCAGUGGUAGAGUGCUUGCCUUGCAUGCAUGAGGCCCUGGGUUUGAUUCCUCCGCCACCACA